GUGCGCCACGGUGAUGGAUUUCCGCCGGGCAUUCGCCGAACCGCUCUCACAAGAGCUGAUGAUUCCUACUGGGCG
rnacentral:ncRNA from 1 species